rnacentral:rRNA from 1 species
GGGUGACUGCGUACCUUUUGUAUAAUGGGUCAGCGACUUAUAUUCUGUAGCAAGGUUAACCGUAUAGGGGAGCCGCAGGGAAACCGAGUCUUAACUGGGCGUUAAGUUGCAGGGUAUAGACCCGAAACCCGGUGAUCUAGCCAUGGGCAGGUUGAAGGUUGGGUAACACUAACUGGAGGACCGAACCGACUAAUGUUGAAAAAUUAGCGGAUGACUUGUGGCUGGGGGUGAAAGGCCAAUCAAACCGGGAGAUAGCUGGUUCUCCCCGAAAGCUAUUUAGGUAGCGCCUCGUGAACUCAUCUUCGGGGGUAGAGCACUGUUUCGGCUAGGGGGUCAUCCCGACUUACCAACCCGAUGCAAACUACGAAUACCGAAGAAUGUUAUCACGGGAGACACACGGCGGGUGCUAACGUCCGUCGUGAAGAGGGAAACAACCCAGACCGCCAGCUAAGGUCCCAAAGUCAUGGUUAAGUGGGAAACGAUGUGGGAAGGCCCAGACAGCCAGGAUGUUGGCUUAGAAGCAGCCAUCAUUUAAAGAAAGCGUAAUAGCUCACUGGUCGAGUCGGCCUGCGCGGAAGAUGUAACGGGGCUAAACCAUGCACCGAAGCUGCGGCAGCGACACUAUGUGUUGUUGGGUAGGGGAGCGUUCUGUAAGCCGUUGAAGGUGGCCUGUGAGGGUUGCUGGAGGUAUCAGAAGUGCGAAUGCUGACAUAAGUAACGAUAAUGCGGGUGAAAAACCCGCACGCCGGAAGACCAAGGGUUCCUGUCCAACGUUAAUCGGGGCAGGGUGAGUCGACCCCUAAGGCGAGGCCGAAAGGCGUAGUCGAUGGGAAACAGGUUAAUAUUCCUGUACUUGGUGUUACUGCGAAGGGGGGACGGAGAAGGCUAUGUUGGCCGGGCGACGGUUGUCCCGGUUUAAGCAUGUAGGCGGAUGUUCCAGGUAAAUCCGGAACGUCACUAACGCUGAGGUGUGAUGACGAGGCACUACGGUGCUGAAGUGACAAAUGCCCUGCUUCCAGGAAAAGCCUCUAAGCAUCAGGUAACAUCAAAUCGUACCCCAAACCGACACAGGUGGUCAGGUAGAGAAUACCAAGGCGCUUGAGAGAACUCGGGUGAAGGAACUAGGCAAAAUGGUGCCGUAACUUCGGGAGAAGGCACGCUGAUGGUA